UACGGGGGGGGCAAGCGUUGUUCGGAAUUACUGGGCGUAAAGGGCGCGUAGGCGGCCAACUAAGUCGGAUGUGAAAUCCCCAGGCUCAACCUGGGAACUGCAUCCGAUACUGGAUGGCUUGAAUUCGGGAGAGGGAUGCAGAAUUCCAGGUGUAGCGGUGAAAUGCGUAGAUAUCUGGAGGAAUACCGGUGGCGAAGGCGGCAUCCUGGACCGACAUUGACGCUGAUGAGCGAAAGCUAGGGGAGCAAACAGG
rnacentral:rRNA from 1 species